GACAUAUUUACCUCAGACAGAAAACCAAACCAUAUGUCUCCAGGAACGAGUCGCAAACGAGUAUUUUAUAUUGUUUUGCAUCCUUUAAAGCUUAUUUCAAUGCUAUUAUACAAUCAAGAGCAAGGACAUUUUUAAGUGUACGAAAAAAGAAAGGUCAACAACACCAAGAUCUGCCCAAUUCACUGUCCAAAACCAAUUAAGCACUGUUUGACACCAGCAACUGCAGGGUCUGCCCAGUUCAUUCUGUCCAAGACUACUUAAGCACUGUUUGACACCAGCAACAUCAGGUUUCUGUGCGCUCUUGCUGAGAGUUUAAUCCUCUUGACUGUCGUAACUGAAUGCUGAAUGAAGGAUGACAGACAGACGCAGCGGAGAGAAGAGUUUACAUCAACUUGACUGAAACAUUCAUCUGUACCUCACAUUAAACUAUUGAACUGCUUUAGAACACUUGAAAUAUAGAGCACCAAAACUUUAUGGUGCUUUAUUAUGAUUUGGUGCCUUUUGUGGGGCUUAACAAUAACACAGAAUAAUAUACGCACAAUAUCGGAUUUGGAUUGGUCUCGUUUGACCGAUACCCGAUCCGGCACAAAAUGCCAGUAUCGGAGCUGAUACCGAUACUGAGUAUCGGAUUGAUGCAUCCCUACAUUGAAUGCAAUGUAAAUCACUUGUAUAGAAGCAUCUGUCGAAUAUACUAAUGUAAUGAAACAUCUGAUGUAAGGUGUUACAAAAUAGGAUGUGACACUACAAGGUGCUUCAUAGAAAGAAACUUUAACACUGAUAUUUGGUGCCAGAUCAGGAGU